AAGCACCCCGGAAGGGGAGUGAAAGAGAUCCUGAAACCGUGUGCCUACAAGUAGUCAGAGCCCGUUAACGGGUGAUGGCGUGCCUUUUGUAGAAUGAACCGGCGAGUUACGAUCCCAUGCAAGGUUAAGCUGAUAAGGCGGAGCCGUAGCGAAAGCGAGUCUGAAUAGGGCGUUUAGUAUGUGGUUGUAGACCCGAAACCAGGUGAUCUACCCAUGU
rnacentral:rRNA from 1 species